rnacentral:rRNA from 1 species
GACGAAGGAUCCAAGCGUUGUCCGGAUUUACUGGGUUUAAAGGAUGCGUAGGCGGACACUUAAGCCAGUGGUGAAAUCCCAUAGCUCAACUAUGGAACUGCCAUUGGAACUGUGUGUCUUGAAUUCGGUUGAGGUAGAUGGAAUAUAACAUGUAGCGGUGAAAUGCUUAGAUAUGUUAUAGAACACCGAUUGCGAAGGCAGUCUACUAAGCCGACAUUGACGCUGAGGCAUGAAAGCGUGGGGAGCGAACAGG